rnacentral:ribozyme from 13 species
AAAAAGGAAAAAAAAAAAAAAAAAAAAAAAAAAAAAA